rnacentral:rRNA from 1 species
UACGUAGGGCGCAAGCGUUAUCCGGAAUUAUUGGGCGUAAAGAGCUCGUAGGCGGUUUGUCGCGUCUGCCGUGAAAGUCCGGGGCUCAACUCCGGAUCUGCGGUGGGUACGGGCAGACUAGAGUGAUGUAGGGGAGACUGGAAUUCCUGGUGUAGCGGUGAAAUGCGCAGAUAUCAGGAGGAACACCGAUGGCGAAGGCAGGACUCUGGGCAUUAACUGACGCUGAGAAGCGAAAGCAUGGGGAGCGAACAGG